GCUGUUCUGUGCAUGGCAGUAGGUGCUACAGCACACCGAUUCCUCCUGUGAGGUCUUACCCGCUCAGGCAGGUUCCUGAAGUGGUUACCUUCACCCUGCAGGACUGGACUCACCAGCAGACCAGUUUCCUCCGCUCCUACGCUGGGUCUCGCCAUCUGAGCAAACUCUUCACUGGCUUUCACCAGCUACAUGGAUGAUGAGGGAUCUUUGUCAGCUAAACCACAAUCCUUACAUGAUUUUAUGGAAGAGUAAACAUGAUGGUGGCAAUCUCUGGAAGCUAGAGAAGGUUGAGAGAUGCCUGAAAAGAAAGGUAAUUGUAUUUGGAUUCGUACUGAAAUGAAGGCAUUACUUCGCAGCAGGUAGAAUAAUUAUGAACUAAAAACAGUCUACCUAACUGUGAGAGUCUGGAUGA